GUCAAAUCAAUGAAGUGAACAACCCAACCUCUUUGUUUGAAGCGUUGCCAAGAAGCUUCUACUUGCUUGUUGAAGUCGAGAAGUGGAAGUAAUAAAAAAGAGAUGUUUCUCUUCACACCUCAAAUCAAGAGGAAAGGUAGCUUGUCAAGCUGGCCUAACCUAUGCCAAUUUUGGCGGACCAUGCUCCACCCCGGUGAACUCAUGCAGUUCUGACGUGCCCAGAGGCCAGAGGCAAAUCCGUUCACGAUUCUUUCCCAACAAAAAAGGAAAGGGCUGUAUCACAUCGAGAUGUCGAUUUGUUUUC
rnacentral:lncRNA from 1 species